rnacentral:misc_RNA from 1 species
GAUGAAGAACGUAGCGAAAUGCGAUAAGUAAUGCGAAUUGCAGAAUUUCCGUGAGUCAUCGAAUCUUUGAACGCACAUUGCGCCCACUGGUAUUCCGGUGGGCAUGCCUGUUCGAGCGUCAUUAUCCUCCCUCAAACCCCGGGUUUGGUGUUGGACCCAAGUUGUGUGAACAACUGGUCUCAAAGACAAUGACGGCGUCCGUGGGACCCUCGGUGCAACGAGCUUUUAGGAGCACGCAUCGAGUUGCAAGGAUCUUCCGGGCCGGUCUCCUUUACCAUUUUACAAGGUUGACCUCGGAUCAGGUAGGAAUACCCGCUGAACUUAAGCAUAUCAAUAAGCGGAGGA